UUUUCUUUUUUUUUUUUGAGACAGGGUCUCACUCUGUCGCCUAGGCUAAGUGCAGUGGUACAAUCUCGGCUCACUGCAGCCUCGACCUCCCAGACUCAAGCGAUUCUCCCACCUCAGCUUCCUGAGCAGCUGGGACCACAGGCCCGUGCCACCACGCUUGGCUAAUUUUGUACUUUUUUGUGGAGACAAGGUCUCACUAUGUUGCCCAGCCUGGUCUUGAACUCCUGAGCUCAAGUGAUCCUCCAACUUUGGCCUCCCAAAGUGCUGGGAUUAUAGGUGUUAGCCACCACACCUGGCCCCAACUAACUUUUAAGUUUUAUUUUGGUUUUUAUAUAUACACCCACACAGAGGUGUGUGUGUGUAUACAUAUACACAUAUAUGAAUAGAUAAAAACUUGCAUUUACGUAAUUAUACUGAAAAAUUUG
rnacentral:lncRNA from 1 species